rnacentral:rRNA from 1 species
UACGUAGGCAGCGAGCGUUGUUCGGAGUUACUGGGCGUAAAGGGUGUGUAGGCGGUUGUUUAAGUUUGGUGUGAAAUCCUCCCGGCUCAACUGGGAGGGUGCGCCGAAUACUGAAUGACUUGGAGUGCGGGAGAGGUGAGUGGAAUUCCUGGUGUAGCGGUGAAAUGCGCAGAUAUCAGGAGGAACACCGGUGGCGAAGGCGGGUCUCUGGGCCGUAACUGACGCUGAGGAGCGAAAGCGUGGGGAGCGAACAGG